CACAAUGGUUCUGGGUCCUGUUGUCUUUCCAUCUAUCGCUGUGUUAGUCCUCAUGAUGCAAGCCAAUCAAAAAGCACAGGAGCUGUCCAAUGCUUUGCUGUUGUGUUGUGCUGUUAAAGGCCGGUGUAUUAAUGAAUGUAUUUGUCCAGAUGUGAACUCUGUGCUCCCACCCUGUCGUGGUGGUGUGCAUGACGCAUGAGGAGCUAAGGUAGAGCGGGGUAACCAUUGAAGAGGAGGGUUCCUGUGCGAUGGACACAGGAAGUGAUAGUACUAUUUCUACUACUUCUUUUACUACUACUAAUUUGAGUGAAAAAAAAAGUCCAGUUAUGUGUGACUCAUGCAUAUGUUGCUGAGUAUAUGUGUAUGUUGUGUGUGUUGGCAUGGGUCGACUGCUUAAAAAAAAAAAGAUAUUUGUUUUGUCUUUAUUUUUUAUUUUUAAUGGUCCUGAAUUCAUGUAGAUUAAUGGUUAAGACUCACGGAAGAAAAGAAAAAAGGAUGAUUUCUUGUCUUUUUCUUCUAGUUUUUCUUUUGAAAUCAGAAUACCAUCGUUUAAAUUGUUUUUCUUGAACUUUGUCAAAUGAAACAAGUUUUCCCUUGUUUGAAACGAUACACUAAUGUACAUUUAAAUUUGAAUGGUCAUUUCUCCUUUAAUUUACAAGUUGUUGGUGUCUGUGGUACUUUUUAAGAUAAGGCAUGUCAGAAAGCUUUAAUUUUUCAUGCUUUCUAGACAUUUUUUUGCUUUGAGGUGAGGGCAUUGUAUAGUGAAUAUUAAGUUUAAGUCUUUUCGAUGAUAAAAUUAAAAACAAGAUUUACUAUUGUACAAAUUACAGCAGAAUUUUUAAAAAAAUUAUAUAAAUUCAUUGAUAAUUCCUUUGAUUUUGGUUGUGUGGAGAUUAAAAGGUUCUGCUCAAGGUGCAUGAAUUUGUUUGCUUCAGUUGUUUCUGUGCUCACUCCACCAACGCUCUUGUCCCAAUGUCCAUAAUGCUUCCUACUAAUGUAGAUUUGUGCUGAAUUUUCUUUAUUUGAAACUAGUGCCUUCAGAAUGAUAUUUGCCACAGUUUUAAAAUUGAAACGUAUGACAUAUGUUACGAGAUUGAUUAUUCCUCUUUACUGAAUGAUUAAGAAGAAUUUUCUGUUUCUGUGUACAUAUCCUGUUAUUGUAUUUAUUCACUGAAAUGCCAUUCCUGUAAUAGAAUAGGGUAGGUCUAGCAUUAGAAAUUUUCCCACACUCUUCCUGUAAGAAAGACCUAUGCUGACAUAAGUCAGAUGGACAGGUGAUUUUGAACAUUGCCUCUGAGAGUUAACUUUAUUUCAGUAAUUCAGUUCUGUGAGAAUGAAUGCCUCUUGCAAAAAAGAAUAAAGAAAAAGAAUAAGAAUAUGAAAGAGAAUCUCAAGGUAUAAGCUGAAAACGAUCCUACUGUUUGUAUGACGAGUAUUUUUAAAUUUUUUACUUAAGAUAUUUCCCUGAUUAUUUCUGAUGCACUUUAAAAUGUCUCAGCAGUUCAAAGUGAUUGAGUCAGGAGUAUUUUCAAACUGCCUAUGUUAAGGCUCAGCAGUGCAUUAAAAAAUUGUGAAAGAAUUAUUCAUAGUAGUAUGUAAGUCAAGGUGAAGACCUGACUUUUUAUCUUUCACUGUAUUUUUCUUCCCUAUAUUUUCCUUCAGUAAUUCUGUCUUUAGUAUCUAAGGUAACAAGCAGCAUUUUAUGGCUGAUUGCAGUUUCUUAUGCAGAAAUCAAGAUGAUGUACUUUUUUAUCGUUACAAUGGCACUAGUUCAUUCAUUAUGUUUAAAGCCCAGAGUAAUUAUGCUGUAACUGUCCUUCACUGUUUCCAAGACCUGUUCAGUGGAUAAAUAUUGAUCAACUAAACAGCCAGAAGUCUACUGACCAGAUGUUAUUUUAGUCGUAAGGGAACUGUCAGUAUUGAAAUUCAGCUGUGACUGAAACAGAACUUUGGGGAGUUUUCGCUUUCAGUUAUUUUUAAAUGCCUAAAAAACAAUAAUUUACAAUGCUUAUAUUGUAUAGUACUAUCUUACAGAUGUGUUGGCUUUUCAACUAAGGAGGCAUGCCACUUUCAUGGCCUAGCAGCAGUAUUUUUCCUUUAAAUUAAAUCUUCUGAUAUAAAAGUUCACUUCAUGUUUUCUCAGUCCUUUCAGUCCCAAAGCCUGGUUUUUUUUUGCUUGUCACUUGGUGGUGCUUUUAUUUUCUCUUUUUUUUUGGGGGGGGGGGGAGGGGGGGCUUUUUUCUCAGUACAUAUCUUGUCAUUACUUAAGUUUUUUUUCCAGUGUCUCUCAUGGCAUACUUUUCAUGACUUUUCAUGAGAUGAUUUGUAGCUGUUGUAAGCGUCAGGAGUUAAAACAAUUUGUUCAGGUUUACUCUUGAAAAAAUUGUGAAUUUCAGGACUGCAUUUAUAGUUUUGGUGAAAGUGUUACAUAGAGUAACUAUUUUAAGAGCUGGGAAAGUCCUGCAAACUAGAGGGCAUUGAUUUUACUGGAAUGUACAAGACAAUAAUUUUUUUUUCGAACUGUGAAUGUACAUAAACACCUAGAUCACUGGGUCUAUAUACAUAACAAUUGUUAAAGGAAACCUGUUUCUGUAUCAUUUUCUGUAAUAAGUAGACAUUUUCGGAUUGCAAACUCUUUCCCAUUUUAAUUAGCUUUCUUAUAUAUGUUUUUGCCAAAUCUUUUACAAUGUUCUGUUUUUCAUUUAUUAAGGGUAGAAUGUUUUCUGUACCAUCCUUUUGGCAACUGUAUCAUGUUACUCACCUCAGCUCAGAAAGUAUGUCCUCUAAGCUUAUCUAGCUAAAAGAAAAUGCAUAUUACUGUUUUCAUGUUGGCUGCCAUAUUAUAUUGUUCUUUGUGAAGACUUGAAUAUGUGUGUUGAGUUGUUUUCACAGGGUCACUGUGAUGCUGCUGUGAGUGUUCAUGCUUUAGACUGUUUACAUAAAUAUCUGUUAUCUUGAUUUGUAAUGUUUUUGAAAUUGUUUAUGACCAUAUUUCUGUUCUCAUUUGUUUUCUUAUAACCAAAGAAGUUUUGGGUUAUAGAUUUUUUGUUUUAGUUUUUGGAUAAUUAGACAUCUGAGCUGUGAAAACAAUCGUUUUGUUAAUUGUAUUCUUCUUUCCAUGCAUAAGUUCAACGUGGACACUGUUGAAAAGCAAGAAAUCCAUGGUAUUUUUGAAGAUUUUACUGUCAAUUUUUCUGUCUUUUAUAGUUAAAGUCUAUCAUAUGUUGUUUGCUGUUUUUUGUGAAUUUGCAGUAGUGUUAUGUGUGUUCAGGGUGGAACGCGUCUUCAACUCCACUUAGGUAGGAUGAAUUUCUAGUUUUACAAGUUUCUACUGGUUUGGUUUUUGUAAUUACUGAGUGGCUGUGAAUCAUUUGGAAAUUUCUGUAAUACUGAUAGGAUUGGAAUGCUGAGCACUGCUCCCCUGUGGUUUGUUGUUACAAAUUUUGACUUGUGUACCUUGCGUUUGAUUACAUCUAUGUCAGUCUUGAAUAUACUGCUGGUUGAAGAAACGUGCGGUGAAGAGACAGCAUGCACCUUUCAUGUGCUCUUAUUGGAAAACAGUGAAAUGCUUUGAAGGUAACAUUGGCUGGUUCUGUCAUGGUUUUUGGCAUUCGUAGGUAGUUCUUCACUCUAUUAAAAAUUGAAUUUAGUUUUGAAGUCUCUAACUUUAAACCAGCCUUUAAGAGGUACUUAAUGAUGAUAUUGAACACAUUCAUUAUAUUGUGUUGUCCACUUUUGGAGCAUAUAUGGGCAAGUGUGUAUUUAGUUUUGUUUCUAAUUUUCAGAACUGUUUUGUCUCAUCUUACCUUAUACUGGAAAUACAUCAACAAAAUGGAAAUACCACAGGAAUGUUGGAGAUGAUAAUUUUAAUUUGAUCAGUAGUGUACUGGAUGAUGUACCUAGUGUGUCCUUUGACAUUUAAUUUUCUGAAGUCAUUUGGAUAAAAUUAGAAAUUUCUGUGCAGUGUGGGGGGUACACUAACACUAUAGUUACCAGGCAUAUUAGGACAACCAUUUGAGGCAGCUUUGAGUGUUUUUCAACUUGUCCUUUUGGGUUUUAAUUGGUUUGUUUUUUGGUCCAGACACUCCAGCUUUAGUGGUCAGGAAAUGUUUAAUGUAUGUUUUAGUGUUUAUAAGCUUUUCUAGUGUUCCUAUCUGGAAAAAAAAUUUCCUUGUCCUUUGUCAAAAGAUGAAAGAUUGUCCGAGUUGGUUUGGUUUUAGUUCUUGAUACCCAUUGUCUUUUUUGUCGUACUGAAGCUUUAAUUCUCUGGUUUUAUCUUUUUCUAUCUGUUUAGUUUAAUCCGUUCAGCAUUAUUAUAGUGAUGCAGGGGUAUCAUUUUUCAGGCAUUGUUUCUUUGAUUGAUGUCCUUGAAACUUCCAUCCUCUUGGUGUUGCUUCUAUUAUUUUUGAGUGGGCUUGGUUUUUGGGUGCCUCUGUCAUCUGGGAUAAUGCACUACUUUAAUAAAUUGUCCCCUCUUUUUACACUCCCCAUUUCAGAGGCAGCGGUGAUUUGUAUUGUUUGAAAAAUAAUAAUACAAAAGUAGUAUUUGUAUAGCAUCUGUUGCUGCUCAACAGCAAGUUUUAUGGGCUUAACAAUCUUUACUGAGGUCUGAUGUCUUACAGCGCCGUCUGAGAUUCAUCAAAUGUCUACAUUUGGCAGCAUUUCAUGGCUACUGUAGAUGAUUAAAAAGUUGUUGAAAACUAACCUCUAUUUUGAGUUGGUUAGGACUUUUCUGUUUGUAUUUACUCUCUUGUAACCAUCAGUUAUAAUUCUGUUACUUUUGUGAGAAAGUUUGUAAAGGGAAUUCUUUCGUCUGAAAACGUUUUGUGCUUUCAGGAGUACCACACAGAGGACUACUCACACUGAAAUUGUGCCAUCUUAUGAUUUUUGAUUUAUGUAUUCAAACCUUUGAAUUUGAAUCAAAAUUGUUUUGAAAUGAUGUGUUUUGAACUUCAUUGUAAUUUUUUUGGUAAACUAUUCAGUCUUGUUUUUUAACUUGUUGUCGGCUUUUUGAGGGAAGAAAAGUCUUUUUAAGCCUGACAGAUCGCCAUGGAGCAGGUUCUGGGAAAAAAAUGAAUACAUCUAGGGUAAGUGGGUGGUUGGCAGGUGCUCUGGUGUGGUUUGCUUCUUCUUUCCUUUCAAACAUCUGUCGUCAUUAUCUCCCCUCCUUAUUUUUUAAAGUUUGUUACUCUCUUGUAACAUGGUAUCUAUAAUCUUCGGCACGUUUAUGACCCUAUUGUGUUGCAAGUUCUGUAAAACACUUACUAAAACAAAACAUCUAGAGUAAGUGGGGCUUAAAGAAAAGAUGUAGCGAGUAGAAAUAAAGAAAAGCGAAAAUUGAGAAAUAGAAAUGGUAGCUAUUCAAAUAUAUCCUAAAUGGUAGAAUAAGGGUGCAUUAGACCCAUACUCUUUACUUUACUAUCCUAUUCUUGUUAAGAACAUUGUUACAGUGUAUUCUUUCCAUUUAUAUUGUUUUCCUUGUAGUGCAGCCUGGUUCAUGCCCUUGUUUUGUGUGCUACAAAUAAGCUACUAUUAAAUGAUUUUGUUGACAAUUUUUGUUCUUGUAUCUCCUUUUUGGAACCUUUUGUUAGAUACACAGUGCUUGUAAAUUUCUUUUUUGUUUUGUUCUGGAACUAUUUUGAGAUCCUAAUUUUAAUUAUAAGUGUUCUUGAGUUUCUACUUUUAAAAAAUGAAGUUAAUCUUACAAAUUUUGCAUAAUAAAUCCCAAUGUAUAGGUGAGCAUUGUUAACCAAUAUCUUCAUGAAAGUUUCAAGGGAAAGUUUACUUGGUUGAGACUGAGUAGAGACUUGCAAGUCAGGUACUUGAGUAAGAACAGUUUGUCAAUUCCGUUCUGUAGUAAUCUCCCUGUAUUGUGUUCCUGUCCAGUGAUAGCCACAGGAGAGGAGUGCUUUGGUUUCACCAAGAGCUUCUUUGUAAUUAUUUUAUAUUUACAACAGGCAUGUGGUUUUCAUGGUCCCCUAAGUUUGUGUUUUAAUGUGUAUUGAUAAGCUCUUAAAUUCAGCACUCAGUAUUAAUGGUUCACUUCUUGCCUCACCUGUCUCUGCAUACAAAGUUGGGAGUGGUCUUUGACAGUGACAACCUGUUUGACAAAAUGAUUCUAUACACAUAUGCAUCUCUCUAUUUUUGUUUUUACUGGGCCUUUAUCUUUGAACUGUUAAAAAUGAUUAUGGUUUUGUUUAUUCUUUUACUCAACAAAUUUGAACAGUCCGGCAAUUGUUGUCUUGAUUCUGUACUUCUGUUUCAAAGAUGUUACUUCAUGUACAGUGUGUAAGAGCUCCUUCAGUAUUGUGUCUUCUUUAUAAAUACGGCAUGGUUACACGGAUAACAGCUGUUACGUCAUAGAGUGCAUGUUGAAUACAACACCUGUCUUGUGUUCUAGAAAGGCACAAUGACGUUCCCUAUGCAGCAUAAAAACACUAUGAGAUAGAGAAGUAUUGAAGGGUUUCAAUCCCUCAUAGAAACUUCCAGGCAGCAUGCACUGAAAUGUGUGCUCUGUGUAUUAAUCAGUGCUUCACAUCUUCCGCUGAUGAUACCGUUUUGCAGAUGACAAAAUAUUGUUCCCUGAAAUCAUUUUACCAUGGUUUAUAUUUUAUGUUAAUGUGUUAAAGUUGAGAUGAUGUUCUUUCUUCCAAGAAGUCAGAUCUGUUUUCGUUGCCAACUUUAAGCUGUUGCUGGAACGUCCACUUUUAUAUUUUUUGUUAUCUUUUUUUUUUUGGAGUGAAAGUUAGAUUAUUUUUGCCCAAUAACUUUAUAAGAAAGCAAUACCUCUGUUUUUGCCUAUUUCAUAAUGUCAGUAAUUCUGUCACUGUUAAGCCAUUGUUUCAUUUCUUUCUUCUUCUUUUGUUCUGUUUUGAGGUGUUUUUUUUCGAAUUGCCAUCGCAUUAUAUUCUGCUUACUCUUGUUCAACUCGAUUUACUUAAAUGAUUUUCCUUCUUUUUCGUAUAGCUGUUUACCUCUCUGAUUUGCAGUUGGGAUGUGCAGAUGGUCAAACGAAUGUCUGCCUUUGAUUAGGCCAUUUGUCAGUUCCAUUUAGAAUUUAGGGUAUAUAAUGUUUUAUCUUCUGUUUGUCCACAAAGCUAUGCUUUGAGAGCACAUACAUGUAAAUGUUCUGCUGGAUUUGACGUUAUUUGCAAAGCAAAGCCUGGAAAAGUAUCAAACCUUUUCAUUGGCAUUGUAAUUCCAUUGGCAUUGUGUGUUCAGCAGUGCAAUCAAAGACUAUUUUUAUUUUGUUCUGGUAGUCCAGCCGUUUGAAGUAGGUCGCUGAGGAGAGAUAGAAGGGAGAUCUUGUGUUGUUGUGAAAGAAAUUGUUAGCAUGCUUGUCCUUGUACUGAGUUGGCUUGAGCUGUGUGUUUCUGCAGCCAACUGUAUUUGUGUAUCUGUCUGAGUGUGGGCAUAGGACUGUCUAUAUAUACAUUCAGUAACAUUUUCAUUUUUGCUUCCACUUUUCUUUCCCUUUUAAAGUAAAUGCGAGCUGUUUAUUUUUGAGAGGAUGAGUCUUGGCUCUGUGGCCCCUGAUUGAUAGUGUUCUUAUCAGUGGUGUCACAUGGUUGGAGAUUUUGUGUCUUGAGCAGUAUGGAAGAACUCUGUUUACGGAGGAAUGUUAUGCAUUAUCCUCCUUUUAUUAAUAAUAAAAAAAGAAUUAAUAAACUGUUGAUUCCUA